rnacentral:rRNA from 1 species
CCUACGGGUGGCAGCAGUGAGGAAUAUUGGUCAAUGGACGCGAGUCUGAACCAGCCAAGCCGCGUGCAGGAGGACGGCUCUAUGAGUUGUAAACUUCUUUUGUACGAGAGUAAACGCAGAUACGUGUACCUGUUUGAAAGUACCUUACGAAUAAGGAUCGGCUAACUCCGUGCCAGCAGCCGCGGUAAUACGGAGGAUUCGAGCGUUAUCCGGAUUUAUUGGGUUUAAAGGGUGCGUAGACGGUCUGAUAAGUUAGUGGUGAAAGCCCGCGGCUCAACUGCAGCAUUGCCUUUGAUACUGGUCGUCUAGAGUGUAGUUGAGGUAGGCGGAAUGUGUGGUGUAGCGGUGAAAUGCUUAGAGAUCACGAAGAACCCCGAUUGCGAAGGCAGCUUACCAAACUACUACUGACGUUGAGGCUCGAAAGCGUGGGGAUCAAACAGGAUUAGAUACCCUGGUAGUC